AAGUCGUAACAAGGUUUCCGUAGGUGAACCUGCGGAAGGAUCAUUACCUAGAGUUGUAGGCUUUGCCUGCUAUCUCUUACCCAUGUCUUUUGAGUACCUUUGUUUCCUCGGCGGGCUCGCCCGUCGAUGGACCUAUUUCAAAACUCUUAAUUGUUCAACUCGUGUUGUCUGAGCGAUACAAGCAAAAUUUUAUUAAAACUUUCAACAACGGAUCUCUUGGUUCUG
rnacentral:misc_RNA from 1 species